rnacentral:rRNA from 1 species
UCCUAGCCGUAAACGAUGGGAACUAGGUAGGGGAAUUGCCUAUGAAUUUCUCUGCCGGAGCUAAUGUGUUAAGUUCCCCGCCUGGGGAGUACGCUCGCAAGGGUAAAACUCAAAGGAAUUGACGGGGGCUCACACAAGCGGUGGAGCAUGUGGUUUAAUUCGAAGCAACGCGAAGAACCUUACCCGGCCUUGACAUGCACGGAUUAGCCUUAUGAAAGUAGGGUAACAGCUCU